GCCCUUUUAACUCGGCGGUAGAGUAACGCCAUGGUAAGGCGUAAGUCGUCGGUUCGAAUCCGAUAAAGGGCU
rnacentral:tRNA from 1 species